rnacentral:rRNA from 1 species
CCUACGGGGCGCAGCAGUGGGGAAUAUUGCACAAUGGGGGAAACCCUGAUGCAGCAACGCCGCGUGGGUGAAGGAGCGUUUCGGCGCGUAAAGCCCUGUCAGCGGGGAAGAAGAAAGACGGUACCCGACCAAGAAGCCCCGGCUAACUACGUGCCAGCAGCCGCGGUAAUACGGAGGAUGCGAGCGUUAUCCGGAUUUAUUGGGUUUAAAGGGUGCGUAGGCGGAUUUUUAAGUCAGCGGUAAAAUGUCCGGGCUCAACCCGGGCCGGCCGUUGAAACUGGGGAUCUUGAGUGGGCGAGAAGUAU